CUGCCAAGCCCCGGGG
rnacentral:tRNA from 1 species